rnacentral:rRNA from 1 species
AAUCCCCUUCCUUCGCCUCUCCUCGUGUGGCUCUCUGGAGAAACACUCGCUGCUUGUCUCGCCUCCAUUGUAUUAUUUCGUCCCUCGUGUAGCUUGACCGGCCGGCGUGCGAAGAUGCCGGGCGGAGGGUUCGCCGUGUCGGCGCCUUCCGGCGUGGAGUUCGAGGCCAAGAUCACGCCCAUCGUCAUCAUCUCCUGCAUCAUGGCGGCCACCGGCGGCCUCAUGUUCGGCUACGACGUCGGCAUCUCAGGCGGAGUGACGUCGAUGGACGAUUUCCUGCGCGAGUUCUUCCCGGCGGUGUUGCGCCGGAAGAACCAGGACAAGGAGAGCAAUUACUGCAAGUACGACAACCAGGGCCUGCAGCUCUUCACGUCGUCGCUUUACCUCGCCGGCCUCACCGCCACCUUCUUCGCCUCCUACACCACCCGCCGCCUCGGCCGCCGCCUCACCAUGCUCAUCGCCGGCGUCUUUUUCAUCAUCGGCGUCAUCUUCAACGGGGGCGCGCAGAACCUCGCCAUGCUCAUCAUCGGCAGGAUCCUGCUCGGCUGCGGCGUCGGCUUCGCCAACCAGGCCGUUCCCCUGUUCCUGUCGGAGAUCGCGCCGACGAGGAUCCGCGGCGGGCUCAACAUCCUGUUCCAGCUGAACGUGACCAUCGGCAUCCUGUUCGCGAACCUGGUGAACUACGGCACGAGCAAGAUCCACCCAUGGGGCUGGCGGCUGUCGCUGUCGCUGGCCGGCAUCCCGGCGGCGAUGCUCACCCUGGGCGCGCUCUUCGUCACCGACACCCCCAACAGCCUCAUCGAGCGCGGCCACCUGGAGGAGGGCAGGGCGGUGCUCAAGCGCAUCCGCGGCACCGACAACGUGGAGCCGGAGUUCAACGAGAUCGUGGAGGCGAGCCGGAUCGCGCAGGAGGUGAAGCACCCGUUCCGCAACCUGCUCCAGCGCCGGAACCGGCCCCAGCUGGUCAUCGCCGUGCUCCUCCAGAUCUUCCAGCAGUUCACGGGCAUCAACGCCAUCAUGUUCUACGCCCCCGUGCUGUUCAACACGCUGGGGUUCAAGAGCGACGCGUCGCUCUACUCGGCGGUGAUCACCGGCGCCGUCAACGUGCUGGCCACGCUGGUGUCGGUGUACGCCGUGGACCGCGCCGGGCGGCGCGCGCUGCUGCUGGAGGCCGGCGUGCAGAUGUUCCUGUCGCAGGUGGUGAUCGCCGUGGUGCUGGGCAUCAAGGUGACGGACAGGUCCGACAACCUGGGCCACGGGUGGGCCAUCCUGGUGGUGGUCAUGGUGUGCACCUACGUGGCGUCCUUCGCCUGGUCCUGGGGCCCGCUGGGGUGGCUCAUCCCGAGCGAGACGUUCCCGCUGGAGACGCGGUCGGCCGGGCAGAGCGUGACGGUGUGCGUCAACCUGCUCUUCACCUUCCUCAUCGCGCAGGCGUUCCUCUCCAUGCUCUGCCACCUCAAGUUCGCCAUCUUCAUCUUCUUCUCGGCGUGGGUGCUCGUCAUGUCCGUCUUCGUGCUCUUCUUCCUCCCGGAGACCAAGAACGUGCCCAUCGAGGAGAUGACCGACAAGGUGUGGAAGCAGCACUGGUUCUGGAAGAGGUACAUGGACGACGACGACCACCACCACCACAACAUCGCCAACGGCAAGAACGCCACCGUCUGAAAAGCGUUACUACUCCUACUAUGUAAAUGUAAGGCUGCCUGCCUGCCUGCACAAGUCGACUUAGAAAGAAGAAAGAUGGAUACUGAGCUUUAUCGAUCGAUCUCAUCUCAUCUCGUCUGGUGUGUAAGAUGUGCAGACACUUUCUCAGUCGCGAGCUCAACUAUUACACCGGUGACAUGCGACGAGGAACAGCAGGCGGUGCGGUAGCAAACCUUGCAGUUCUAUAUAAUAGGUACGCAAUACGUAGUAGUGAAGAGUAUUUCGGUCUUUCUUGUUUAGUAUCCUUUAUUUAUGUGUCUAUUUGUUUGGAGUUGGCCUCUGACAAUGCGAGCCUACCUGUAUACAGCACCUUGUAAGACUGAUGUUGCGAUUCGUUAAUGCACAGCAGUGAUGUUAC